AGUUACACCUCGUUCAUUCAACAGGGCAAUUGAUUAUAAGGUUCAUCCCUGGGGAUGGUUAUAUGUGGAAGUGCCAUUACCCCAUGUAGGAUCAGACCUGCAGCUGGAAAAAUUAAGUUACUACUGAUUUUGGGUAGAGGAAAGAAUGACCCACAUGCGGCAGAGACCAAAAGGAGCAGCCACCCUGAGACCAUCCAGGGAGAUGGAAACCAGACAGUGAUCUGUGGAGUCACAACAAAUAGAAAUUUGCUUAAGUAUUGAGGGAGGACUGCAAGAACUCUUGUCAG